ACUCCUACGGGAGGCAGCAGUGGGGAAUAUUGCACAAUGGGCGCAAGCCUGAUGCAGCCAUGCCGCGUGUGUGAAGAAGGCCUUCGGGUUGUAAAGCACUUUCAGUAGGGAGGAAGGUAGUGUAGUUAACACCUGCAUUAUUUGACGUUACCUACAGAAGAAGCACCGGCUAACUCCGUGCCAGCAGCCGCGGUAAUACGGAGGGUGCGAGCGUUAAUCGGAAUUACUGGGCGUAAAGCGCAUGCAGGCGGCCUGUUAAGUCAGAUGUGAAAGCCCGGGGGCUUAACCUCGGAAUUGCAUUUGAAACUGGCAGGCUAGAGUCUUGUAGAGGGGGUAGAAUUUCAGGUGUAGCGGUGAAAUGCGUAGAGAUCUGAAGGAAUACCAGUGGCGAAGGCGGCCCCCUGGACAAAGACUGACGCUCAGAUGCGAAAGCGUGGGGAGCAAACAGGAUUAGAU
rnacentral:rRNA from 1 species